UGCCAAAAGCGGCGCCCUCACUCCCGCUCCACAGAGCACAGAACCAGCACAGAGCCUGCUUCUCAGGGACCCCACAACCAGAAACGAUGGAUCAAGACCCGGAUCAACUGUCCUAGGGGACGUCCUGGGGCGGCUGCUUGAGACAGACAUUUUGGCAAGUCUUAAAUGAACAGCCCAUUGCUUAGGAAGUUCCCGCUUCCCAGGAGAUGCAGACCUCAGUUCUGCUGGUGAAUUGCUCUGGUUCCUGCCCUGCUUGAGUUCCUUCCUGUUCUGACUUCCUUUGAUGAUGGACUGUGAUGUGGAAGUGUGAGCCAAAUGAACCCUUUCCUCCCGAAGCUGCUUUGGUCAUGGCGUUUUCAUCACGAGAAUAAGCCUAAGACACCAGGUGACCCACUGUGUCUGUGCUGCUAAUAGAGAGGAGACAUCGCUUGAGAACCUGCCACUGUCUCAGCGGAGCAGUGAGGACAGAAGUCUCGCUGGGGAAGAUUCAGAAACACGAGCUCAAAGAACAGGGGGAAACCCAGACACAUUUCAGUCACCACCCACAUCAGCAGCAAGUAUUUUUCCCUUAAUACUUUUUCUGGUAGCAGCUGCUUCAAGUGAAGUUGGCUGAGUGCCAAGCCGCAGCUGACCCAGCUGGGGAGGAUAGGGAGAGGUGCCUCCACCCAACCUUGGGAAGCCCCUGCUGUGCUCUGGGCAAGAGGGAAACACAGGGAGGGCUGGCUACUCACAUCAGCAGGUGUUUUUCUUUAUCCUGGAGACCAAACAUCCAGAACUGUGCUGGUGGAGUUCCCCAACUUGUAAAUGUCACAAACCCAUUCGAAGAAGUCUUCCAAAGCUCA